rnacentral:snRNA from 1 species
GUGUUCACUUUUGCCAGUACAUAUACUAAAACUAGAGUGAUAAAAAGAAGAUUAACAUGGCCUCUAAGUAAGGAUGGCAUGCAAAUUCUUGAACUGUUCCAUACUUUA